AAUCCAUAGGUUAAUGAGGCGAACCGGGGGAACUGAAACAUCUAAGUACCCCGAGGAAAAGAAAUCAACCGAGAUUCCCCCAGUAGCGGCGAGCGAACGGGGAGGAGCCCAGAGCCUGAAUCAGCAUGUGUGUUAGUGGAAGCGUCUGGAAAGGCGCGCGAUACAGGGUGACAGCCCCGUACACAAAAGCGCAUGUGCUGUGAGCUCGAUGAGUAGGGCGGGACACGUGGUAUCCUGUCUGAAUAUGGGGGGACCAUCCUCCAAGGCUAAAUACUCCUGACUGACCGAUAGUGAACCAGUACCGUGAGGGAAAGGCGAAAAGAACCCCGGCGAGGGGAGUGAAAAAGAACCUGAAACCGUGUACGUACAAGCAGUGGGAGCACAGGUUUACCUGUGUGACUGCGUACCUUUUGUAUAAUGGGUCAGCGACUUAUAUUCUGUAGCAAGGUUAACCGAAUAGGGGAGCCGGAGGGAAACCGAGUCUUAAUUGGGCGUUAAGUUGCAGGGUAUAGACCCGAAACCCGGUGAUCUAGCCAUGGGCAGGUUGAAGGUUGGGUAACACUAACUGGAGGACCGAACCGACUAAUGUUGAAAAAUUAGCGGAUGACCUGUGGCUGGGGGUGAAAGGCCAAUCAAACCGGGAGAUAGCUGGUUCUCCCCGAAAGCUAUUUAGGUAGCGCCUCGUGAAUUCAUCUCCGGGGGUAGAGCACUGUUUCGGCUAGGGGGCCAUCCCGGCUUACCAACCCGAUGCAAACUGCGAAUACCGGAGAAUGUUAUCACGGGAGACACACGGCGGGUGCUAACGUCCGUCGUGAAGAGGGAAACAACCCAGACCGCCAGCUAAGGUCCCAAAGUCAUGGUUAAGUGGGAAACGAUGUGGGAAGGCCCAGACAGCCAGGAUGUUGGCUUAGAAGCAGCCAUCAUUUAAAGAAAGCGUAAUAGCUCACUGGUCGAGUCGGCCUGCGCGGAAGAUGUAACGGGGCUAAACCAU
rnacentral:rRNA from 14 species